CCCAAGUUGCAUUUUCUGCAGAAAGGCUGAGCUGGUGGUGCUAGGGGGCUGGGUUGGGGGGCAGGAGGUAGAGAGCAGAGCUCUGGACUCCCCUCCUACCUGGCUUCAUGCCCUCUCUUCCAUCCACCCACCUGACCUCCUGUUGUUUGUGUUGGCCAAGGUGACUCUGCUCAGCUGGUUUGGGUUUUUUCUCUCUGGCAUAAGAUAGUAAAGGCAUUUCUCAAAACAUCUCUCUUUCCCAACCCUUGCUCAAACUAACCUCACCCAUCUUUGAUCACUUCCAUUUGUCUAACAACCAUCUGGGCACUAACCUAUGUGUAAUGUAUCCUUCUGUGUAAUUUCCAUUUGUUUGUAUUUAAUCCAUGCCGUCAGUAUUUUCUGUUCUCUCAGGUGCAAUUAUCCCAUCACCUCCUUUGGACUGGCAACGCCCUGAGGCCAAAAACCCUGUAUCCCCAUCUCUGCCUUCCCCCAACCCUGUGCUCCUCACAAGGACCCAUCUCCGGGCAUAAAAGGGCAGACAGAAAACUGGACCAGAAAAAAGGUCUUGCAAGGUGUCGUGUGCAGCUGGCCCUGUGCUAGACUUCAGACCCUGGACUCCAAGGCCGAGAUUGAUCCACUUUAAUCCCCCACAUUCAGAUAGCACUACAAUUCUAACAAGUGCUCCUACAUCCUGUUCCGCCCUUGUGUCUUUGAAUCUCACCCCACAACACAGUCAGUGUUCCGUUCCCCUCCACCCCCGGGAGGUGACAUGGGAGAAGUCUGUUGGUCAAGCAGUGACGAUGACAGCAGGGGUGAAGCAAUGCAUUUGGCUGGUCUGUCUCUACUGGAUCGAGAGCUCUCCAACGGGAAAGACACAAAAGGCAGAGGAGGGGUUGGUCGCUGGCGCGUCUAGCCUACACUACCUGGUCCCCCAGCUCUCUUGCUGUCAAAUUCAUACCCAGGCACCUCCAGAUGCUCUGGGAGAUGGUGAGCAAUAUCACAGGUGAUCUCUAGGGCCUUAUGUUCCAUUUGAAAUGCGAUACAUAAACAUGGGGCGCCUGGGAGCUCUGCCGGUUAAGCGUCCCCCUUCUGCUCAGGUCAUGAUCUCAUGGGUUCGAGCCUCAUGUCAGGCUCUGUGCUGAUGGCUCGGAGCCUGCAGCCUGCUUUGGAUUCUGUGUCUUCCUCUCUCUCCGCCCCUCCCCUGCUCAUGCUCUGUCUCUCUCUCUCAAAAAUGAAUAAACAUUAAAAAAAAAAAAUGUGUAGGAGUGAG
rnacentral:lncRNA from 1 species